CCUGCGAUUGUCAAGUACUGUUUUAGUUUCGUCUUUAUUUCCUUCCAAUUUCACUAAUUUUAAUUAUAGUAUACUGCACAAUCUUGUGCAAUUCAGUCCAUAAAUUGUGUAAAUUUACUAAACUUAGCCAGGCUAUACUGUAUAGUUUUGCAAUAAUAAAAAGAUAAUUACAUACAAUUCGCUUUGAGCGCCCAGUUACAGUAUGGACUAUAACAGUCGGCCAUUGGUCGAACAAAAGCACUAAAUGGCCGAUCAGUUUUAUUCUGUGACGACAUUUCGACCCAGAGAUUUCGACCGAUCAAAUAAAAUACCUUCAUUUAAAUGAAAGGUGUAUUAUUUUAUUAGUACUGUCCAAACAGCAUAAAAGCAAGAAUAGAAACACAAAACAUUUCCUAGACUUUGCUACGACAACAUAGGCGAGUUGCAUGUUGAUUUUCACAGUACAACUCAAAUAACAAGUUGUAAACAGGUUGCAUGCGACAGUUUGAGGCGAAAGUUGGGUAGUCUAAAUCGGCCUUUAUAGUCCACACUGCCCUGUUAUUACUUCUAACAUAACUUCAUGAAAACUUAUAGAUGGCCUUGUGCAGGGCUCGAAAUAGCGGGCUGCCAAUGGCCAAAAGCAGGCCAUAUUUUAGAAAUGACAGGCAAAAACAAAUUUGAACUGCCCAAGUAAAAAAAAAUGGCAGGUGAAAUUCUAUAGAAAUAUUUCGUUUCAUUUGCUUACCACAACUCAUAUAUACUAGAUCAUUUAGUUGACUAAAUACGUUUAUAUUUGUAAAGUAAAUCCAAGUUCACUGCAGUAAAUAGACAAGUUUAAAAACAACAAAAAUGCUUAUCAUGAAAACACUGAUUGUUACAGUACGACUCAUAUGAGACAUCGUCAUUUUGGCAGUUCAAUAAAUAAAAAUGGCAGGCUAAAAUUUAUUUCACCUGCCAAAAAAUUUUAGACUAGCCGGCCAUAUUUUUUCUCUACUUCGAACCCUGCCUUGUGUUAAGUAUUUGGUGGGAACUAUAUCUAUAAUGCAAACAUUGUGCAUCAUUUUCCCUUUGUCAAUACAUUUGAAAUUGACCACCACCUGCAGUAUCAUAUUAAACACUUACAUCUAUUACAUUUACACAAUACCGGACGAAUUCGGAAACACACGAAAAUUCGUCCUAUAGUUCAAUUGUUCACACGGGAAUUCAUAUCACUGAUGAUUCAUAUGCAUACGGUUAGCUGUACUCAAUUCAUCCAGUUUCAUGCGCACCGUGCAGUGUGAAAAUUUGUCAACAGUUUCGAAUUCGUCCGGUCUCAUGUGGACGACCCCAAAUGUUAUAUUAUAGAGAGGUUAAGAUACCCCGGUUCCGGUUUACGGGUACGAGUAUCGCCAUUUUGUUUAUCAAUUUUUGCUGAUGUCAGAAAUUUUACCCGUAAUUUCUACCCGUUUCCCCGCGGUAAACCGUGGUCUACACGUAAACGACAAACGGGUACGGGUGUUUUCUGUUUACUAUUUUUGGGCCGUUUAAAUAGUACAAAUUUUCAAACAUCUUACCCAAAUAAAUAAUGCACAUAUGCUGGUCAAAGUUUUCAACAAUUUAUGGAGAACUUCAACAGCGAAAGUUGCCAUUCUCUGAUCGGUUUUCUCACGCCGGAAUACUUGGAUUUCUUAAGUUACAAGUUAUUCCCCAAUUUACGGGUACGGGUACGUGUAUAUCACCCGUACCCGUAAACCGGAAUCGGGGUAUCUUAACCUCUCUAAUGAGAAUAAUGUCCACGUUCUUAAUUAAGCAAUAUUAUUUAGGAAACAAUUCGUCCAGAGCAACUUAUAAAUUACGUUUUCCUGGAUGAAUUUACCGGGCGGGGGAGGGAGCAAAAGAUACACAGAUGACCAGUCUUGGCAAAAAGGGUGCAACGAGGUGCCAAUUUCUUAUCAAAUUCAUUUUUGGAUUUGCCAAGGCAGUUACAAAAACAUAAAAUAGAGACAAAAUAAGAUAACAUGAUUGAGGGAUUGUCAAGCACAACUACAGAGUAAUGCUGCUCCUUGCUCAUGCCGUAG